UACGGAGGGGGCUAGCGUUGUUCGGAAUUACUGGGCGUAAAGCGCACGUAGGCGGCUUAGUAAGUCAGUGGUGAAAGACUGUGGCUUAACCAUGGAAUUGCCAUUGAUACUGCUGAGCUUGAAUCAGGUUGAGGUGGGCGGAAUGUGUCAUGUAGCGGUGAAAUGCUUAGAUAUGACACAGAACACCGAUUGCGAAGGCAGCUCACUAAACUGUAACUGACGCUGAGGCACGAAAGCGUGGGGAGCAAACAGG
rnacentral:rRNA from 1 species